UGCAGUCGAGCGGACAGAUGGGAGCUUGCUCCCUGAUGUUAGCGGCGGACGGGUGAGUAACACGUGGGUAACCUGCCUGUAAGACUGGGAUAACUCCGGGAAACCGGGGCUAAUACCGGAUGGUUGUCUGAACCGCAUGGUUCAGACAUAAAAGGUGGCUUCGGCUACCACUUACAGAUGGACCCGCGGCGCAUUAGCUAGUUGGUGAGGUAACGGCUCACCAAGGCGACGAUGCGUAGCCGACCUGAGAGGGUGAUCGGCCACACUGGGACUGAGACACGGCCCAGACUCCUACGGGAGGCAGCAGUAGGGAAUCUUCCGCAAUGGACGAAAGUCUGACGGAGCAACGCCGCGUGAGUGAUGAAGGUUUUCGGAUCGUAAAGCUCUGUUGUUAGGGAAGAACAAGUGCCGUUCAAAUAGGGCGGCACCUUGACGGUACCUAACCAGAAAGCCACGGCUAACUACGUGCCAGCAGCCGCGGUAAUACGUAGGUGGCAAGCGUUGUCCGGAAUUAUUGGGCGUAAAGGGCUCGCAGGCGGUUUCUUAAGUCUGAUGUGAAAGCCCCCGGCUCAACCGGGGAGGGUCAUUGGAAACUGGGGAACUUGAGUGCAGAAGAGGAGAGUGGAAUUCCACGUGUAGCGGUGAAAUGCGUAGAGAUGUGGAGGAACACCAGUGGCGAAGGCGACUCUCUGGUCUGUAACUGACGCUGAGGAGCGAAAGCGUGGGGAGCGAACAGGAUUAGAUACCCUGGUAGUCCACGCCGUAA
rnacentral:rRNA from 1 species